CAGUAGCGUAUCUUAAAGUUGUUGCAGUUAAAAAGCUCGUAGUUGGACUUCUGCAGAUUCAAUUUAUUUUGCCUUGGUUCUGUGGUCUCCGGACUACGGAUUCUCUUGGCAAAUCUGCUUUUUGUUGUGACCCUGUCUACCCUUCACUGGGUUGGACGGUGUUGGAUCAACUCUUUUACUUUGAGAAAAAUAGCGUGCUCAAAGCAGGCGUCUUUUGCCUUGAAUAUAUUAACAUGGGAUAAUACCAAAGACUACGCAUCUAUGUUGUUGGUUAUGGAUGUGAAGUAAUGAGUGAUGGGAACGGCUUGGGGGUUUCGGUAUUCUAGAGGGAGAGGUGAAAUUCUUGGAUCUCUGGAAGACCACCUGCUGCGAAAGCGUUGACCAAAGACGUCUCCGUCAA
rnacentral:rRNA from 1 species